UACGUAGGGCGCAAGCGUUGUCCGGAAUUAUUGGGCGUAAAGAGCUCGUAGGCGGUUUGUCGCGUCUGCUGUGAAAACUGGGGGCUCAACCCCCCAGCCUGCAGUGGGUACGGGCAGACUAGAGUGCGGUAGGGGGAGAUUGGAAUUCCUGGUGUAGCGGUGGAAUGCGCAGAUAUCAGGAGGAACACCGAUGGCGAAGGCAGAUCUCUGGGCCGUAACUGACGCUGAGGAGCGAAAGCAUGGGGGAGCGAACAGG
rnacentral:rRNA from 1 species